rnacentral:rRNA from 1 species
GAUGAACGCUGGCGGCGUGCCUAAUACAUGCAAGUCGAGCGAACGGACGAGAAACUUGCUUCUCUGAUGUUAGCGGCGGACGGGUGAGUAACACGUGGAUAACCUACCUAUAAGACUGGGAUAACUUCGGGAAACCGGAGCUAAUACCGGAUAAUAUUUUGAACCGCAUGGUUCAAAAGUGAAAGACGGUCUUGCUGUCACUUAUAGAUGGAUCCGCGCUGCAUUAGCUAGUUGGUAAGGUAACGGCUUACCAAGGCAACGAUGCAUAGCCGACCUGAGAGGGUGAUCGGCCACACUGGAACUGAGACACGGUCCAGACUCCUACGGGAGGCAGCAGUAGGGAAUCUUCCGCAAUGGGCGAAAGCCUGACGGAGCAACGCCGCGUGAGUGAUGAAGGUCUUCGGAUCGUAAAACUCUGUUAUUAGGGAAGAACAUAUGUGUAAGUAACUGUGCACAUCUUGACGGUACCUAAUCAGAAAGCCACGGCUAACUACGU